AUUGAACGCUGGCGGCAGGCCUAACACAUGCAAGUCGAGCGAGCGGCGGACGGGUGAGUAAUGUAUGGGGACUGCCCGAUAGAGGGGGAUAAAUACUGGAAACGGUGGCUAAUACCGCAUACUAUCGGAUAACCCAUAUGGGAUUAGCUAGUAGGUGGGGUAAAGGUUCACCGAGGCGACGAUCUCUAGCUGGUCUGAGAGGAUGAUCAGCCCCCCUGGGACUGAGACACGGCCCAGCCUCCUCCGGAGGCAGCAGUGGGGACUAUUGCCCAAUGGGCGCAAGCCGGAUGCAGCCAUGCCGCGUGUAUGAAGAAGGCCUUAGGUUUGUAAAGUACUUUCAGCAGGGAGGCGUUACCUACAGAAGAAGCCCCGGCUAACUCCGUGCCAGCAGCCGCGGUAAUUC
rnacentral:rRNA from 1 species